AUUUCGUGAUGGGAACACUUCAAUAACAACUCCUUGAAAUGCUCCCAUGCAUCAUACAAUGAAUCCCCGUCAUUCUGGUGGAAAUUAAUAAUUUCUCCUCUUAUCUU